rnacentral:rRNA from 1 species
AGUGAACGCUGGCGGUAGGCCUAACACAUGCAAGUCGAACGGCAGCACAGUAAGAGCUUGCUCUUACGGGUGGCGAGUGGCGGACGGGUGAGGAAUACAUCGGAAUCUACUUUUUCGUGGGGGAUAACGUAGGGAAACUUACGCUAAUACCGCAUACGACCUACGGGUGAAAGCAGGGGAUCUUCGGACCUUGCGCGAUUGAAUGAGCCGAUGUCGGAUUAGCUAGUUGGCGGGGUAAAGGCCCACCAAGGCGACGAUCCGUAGCUGGUCUGAGAGGAUGAUCGGCGACACUGGAACUGGGACACGGUCCAGACGCCUACGGGAGGCAGCAGUGGGGAAUAUUGGACAAUGGGCGCAAGCCUGAUCCAGCCAUACCGAGUGGGUGAAGAAGGCCUUCGGGUUGUAAAGACCUUUUGUUGGGAAAGAAAAGCAGCAGGUUAAUACCCAGCUGGUGUGACGGUACCCAAAGAAUAAGCACCGGCUAACUUCGUG